rnacentral:rRNA from 1 species
GGAGGCAGCAGUGAGGAAUAUUGGUCAAUGGGCGCUAGCCUGAACCAGCCAAGUAGCGUGAAGGAUGACUGCCCUAUGGGUUGUAAACUUCUUUUAUAUGGGAAUAAAGUGCAGUAUGUAUACUGCUUUGCAUGUACCUUAUGAAUAAGGAUCGGCUAACUCCGUGCCAGCAGCCGCGGUAAUACGGAGGAUCCGAGCGUUAUCCGGAUUUAUUGGGUUUAAAGGGAGCGUAGGCGGGUUGUUAAGUCAGUUGUGAAAGUUUGCGGCUCAACCGUAAAAUUGCAGUUGAUACUGGCAUCCUUGAGUACAGUAGAGGUAGGCGGAAUUCGUGGUGUAGCGGUGAAAUGCUUAGAUAUCACGAAGAACUCCGAUUGCGAAGGCAGCCUGCUGGACUGUAACUGACGCUGAUGCUCGAAAGUGUGGGUAUCAAACAGGAUUAGAUACCCUGGUAGUCCACACAGUAAACGAUGAAUACUCGCUGUUUGCGAUAUACAGUAA